rnacentral:tRNA from 1 species
GGGGUUGUGGCUCAGUGGUAGAGCACUCACAUGUGUGAGGCACUGGGUUCAAGUCUCAGCACCACA